GAAAGGAUGACAACGAAAACAAUGCUUGGGUGUCUAGCAGCCUUUUAAAUAAAUUGAUUGCUGUAGGAGUCUGCCACGUGCUCGAUGGCUGUAAGUUGUAAGCUUCCAUGUUAGAUACAUAACUCGUUUUCACAGCUGUUCAUGACAUGAACAUCACGAUGAGUGUAUGUGCAUACACAGUGCAUAAAUCCCGUAAAGACUAAUUGCGAAAGGGGUGUGAAAAUGUAAGUGUAACUGGCGUCGGGAAUCUUAAAAAAAAGAAAAAAAAGGAAGAGAUUCGGUCGGAUGUAUCGUCACGUGGGGCAUCUUGUAAGAAACCAGAUGACUGAAAGUUGACAUUUUGACAUUACUUAAAACACCGAAUGCCAUUGACGCAUCUUUUACAUGUACAACUUCCAAUAAUUGUGAAUGGGGUAGGGGUUUAAAAACUCCCAGCAGUUCUAAAUUGAAGUCUGAUAAUUAGCAUUUUAUGGAUGGAAAUACUAAUACACAUGUGUAUGGCAAAUUUAUAACCUACAGCCAUCAAGACCACACCAACGUGCUCAUCUGCAUGGGACAUGUCAUUCUUAGCUAAUUUGUUUUUAUCAGCACCUACCCUUAUGGAACUGCUAUUUGAUUUUAGGAUGCAUUACUAAAUCAUCAAAAGUAGGUUCUUAAUUACAACACCGCGUUAGCCGAUGAAGAGUUGAGUAUUGCCAGAGAUCAGGGUGGACCGCCAGAGGUCGAGUAGUACGUGCACAAUGUAAGUGAUCAUGUAAAGUAUGUCACUAGCAUAGAGUUGUCUCGUAUUCAACUUCUUCAACUGUUCAAUGAUAUGUGGAGAGCUCUCUGAGCUGUUCACUGAUAAUUUGAGAAAUCCACGAGGUUGUGGAAUGUCUUGUCAAAGAGCGCACCGUUGUGAGAUGGAUUAUUGUCGAUCUAGGUGAAAGGUCAUAUAUAUAUCUCUCACACACACACACACGCGCGCAUGGACAUAAAUCACACAUCAUGAUUAUUUAUUUACUAAUUUAUUUUGGCUUAGACCGUUUUUCAGCUAGAAUUGGUCGGAUGUUGGUAUCAGUGGUCGUGGAAUCAAGGACUGCUCCCUGGCCUGCGCGAGCGAGCGGCUCAGUGAUGGCGGCUCAUUACAAUGACUGCCUGGCACUGAUGCCGUAACCUGUUGAUAACCACAGUCUGCGAUUCUUUCCACGCAGAAAAUAGUUUCAUUCUGAAAAAAAAGAAAUCAUAGAUUCAUCCCAGAACUUGUGGUGGACCGUCAUGCAUUUUCUAGACGUAGAUUGUCCGUUGUCUUGCAAGUUGUUAUCGGCAGCAGCACCAGCGGCCAGCGGCUCUGCAAGGACUGGGAGGAGAGGUCAGCGGAUGAAUGCUGAGGAAGCUGUUGAUGCGCGCUCGAUCGUCUUGACUUUAGUACAUUGAUCCACAUUCACAAUGCCGAAGAGAAAAGGCCAGGAUGGGGAUGACAUGGAGGGGGAUCAUUCUAUCCCACUCCCCAUCCAAACAUUCUUCUGGCGACAGAUCAGUGCUUUCAUCAGACCAAAGCAAGGAAAACUGUGUGAAGCAUCAUGCGUGUCUUUUGAGCGGGUAGUUGUUCAGAACAUUCUGCAUGGCCUUUCACCCAGUCUUUGUGAAGCCAUCCAGAGUUUAUCACGAUGGAAAGUCAUCCAGGCAUCAUUCCCCCAUCUUAUGCAUGCCUGUGCUUCACUCAUCACUGCAUGCAAGAGAGGUGUAACAGAGAAGUUUGGCAGCAGCGAGACCAAGCUGCUCUACACUUUGCACUGGAUCAUUCUGGAUGCUGCAUCUGAGUGUGCAGAUGUUGAUGCAGACAAGACUGCAUUCAUGGUGGAAGGAGGCAUUAACACUGCCUACCUGCACUCAAUGAGCACUAUUCAGUUGUUUGUGUAUCUCUUUGCUCCAAUUGUUCAUCUGAUGAAACCGUCUGAUUUUGAAUCUCUGAAGCUGGAAAAUGGUCUCAAACUUUGGCAGCCAUUAUGGGACUACCAGCAGCCUGAUAUACCUUGCUUUGCUGCACCUGUUAAACCCCAGAGAAGUAUCUUGAAAGCACAAAGAAAUUUACUGAAGGUUAAUACAAAUGCGGCCAACAUUUAUGUUGGCAAGGGCACUUCCAGAGAAAAUCUGGCUUUUCCAUUUGGAGAAGCAACAAGCCCAAUCAAUGAUGAAGGACACUCCCCUAAUGCUCCCUUGGCCAGAAUGAGUGACAUUUGCACCCUGUCGACAAAUGAGUCACUAACGGCAACUAUGGAAGUAGUAUGUGAACACUGUAGCACUGUGAUGCCUGUUCGCACAAACGAAGGUCCCCUUACUUGUCGGUGUGGCCGCAAGGACACACUUGUGGCCUUUCUGCCAGAUUCCAAGAACUAUGCCUAUCUGAAGUUGACCUCGACUGUAGAUAAAGAUUAUGUGAAGCAGACGCUGGCCAGUGCUGUGGCCAGUGGCACUCGAGCACCAGGUUGUAUGGACAUCCUGAGUGCCAGUUACCUGGAUGUGGCAGUGCUGCGCUGCCUGUUCUGUCUCAGUUGGCAGGAGGAUGGAAUCUACUGGGCACUGCGCUACAUUCACAAACGUAUGCUUGAGGUGUGCGAUGAACUGGAACGAACAGAUCGCCGUGAACGAUCCAGAAGUCUUUCUCUGCCCAUACCAGAUCUACAAGUCCUCCUUGUGCCAAGUGAGAAACAGGAAUCUGCAGAUGACAAGUCCCAUUCUUUGACAAGUUCAGGGCUGUUUGUGGACUCGAGACCAACUUCACCAUAUCAGGCACACCAACCUGAUAUCCAAGCAUCAGGCGGUAGUGCUGCAGCUGCAGUUUCCAGCAUGCCAGAGUACAGAAAAGAGCCUCCUUUUAAAAAGAUCCAUGUCACAGAACUGAAGCAAUUCUUUGAAUCAGGAAGGACAUUCAGGAAGAAAGACAGUGUGUUACUAGAAAAAGCUUCAGUGCAAGCAUCUAAAAUGACGAAGCUUGAAGAUCGAGGACAUCUUCGUGGAAGUAGAGAUGACACAUUCAGCACUUCAUCGGCUUCUCCUCGAGAUAUUGAUGUUGAUGUUACCAGACCCAGCUCAGCCAUGGCUAGCUACAGUAGCACUGUAAAAGAGUAUGGUGACAAGAUUGGAAUAGGUGAACAGCGCAUGAGCUUACCAAUGCUUUCUCAGAUUGACAAAGAAUCUGUGGAAAGCAGCAGUCAACAGAGUGGUCAAGACUCCAGUGGAUCAUCUCAGGCUGAAAUACGCACUGAUUCUCGACAAAAACCAAUCAUCAAGAUAACAGAGCAUAGCCCAGAGCCUCGACAGACUUUAGGCUCCAACUACCAGCUGUCAUCUAUUUUGCAGGACACUGAUGAUGACAUUCAGGGGGCCUCUUCUCAGCUGCCUCGCAGCUUCACGGACUCGAACAUAAAAUAUCAGGGGGAGAAAGAGACGAACGAAGUGGCAGGAUCAAAAUACUACAUCCAGGAGAAUGGACAUUUGAACUACAUGGUGGUAUUGCGUGCUGUUCACUUUGUAUCCAUGAGCAAUCAUGUGCCUCGCAUCAGUGAGGUGCUGCUCAACAUCCUCAACUGUCUACUUGAUCUGAACAUUAUUGAGACACAGUCCAAGUCACCACAGAGCGAGAAGGUGUUUUUUCCAGCAACCAGUCCUUCUUCUGGUGGCACAGACAGUACAACAGGUGGAGCACCAAACAUGAGCUUAGAUAAUGACAGCAAGAAAGAUGGCAUCACAGCUCAUAGUUUGGCCAUGGAUAGCUUAUUAAGAAUAUACAAGAGCCUAGGCUGCCCUCAGGGGUGUGGUGAUGGAGUGACAGGGCCACAGGGAGACCACCUCCGGCUCAAGGGACAGAACUGCCUGCAGCACCUCCAUCGACUCAAUCCCACUCUGUUUCACAAAUUUUUCCGUGACACACUACGACGCAGACCUCUCCAGGAAAUAAUAGAGUUCCUGCAUGCCUUCCUAGGCUUCUGUGUAGAUCCUGUCCAAACAGCACAUUCUCCUCAAGCACCUAAGAAAUCUGCCUCUCAGGAGACUUUACCACGCAAUGGAUAUGCCAAUAACUUUGGACACAGUGUUGGAGGAGAAGGUUAUCGUGGUGUUGAAGGAGUCCUCAUUGCUAACUUAACUAAGCCUCUUAUUUCUCGCUGUGUUGCCUGCACUAAAGAACUCUCCAGCAAUGACAACAUUAGUUUGUUUUGUGAUGUGCGACAGCUAAUGGCAUACAUCAAGGAAAUUCAUGGUGGUACUUACCGUCGUGUAGCAUUAAGUGGCCUGCUUGAUUCGCUUCAGAAACUAAAGAGAGAAGUCAGCCAGAAAAAGGAACACAGACCCAAAACCAGUACACCAAUCAGGAGAACUACCUCAGUGACAUCAGAGAGUGGGGAUGAGAGAGAACGACAGCGAUCACCAGGCAUCACUAGUCAGGAAGAGGCUCAUCAAUCUCACCAGUCUCACCAGUCUCACCAGUCUCACAGCCAAAGCAGUGGCAAUAAGACACGACGAUCCAUUUUUCGCAAAAGACUGGCAAAGUCCAUCAUGUUCCAGUAUGCUGCCAGUGAUUCUGAAGUUCCAGAUGACAGCGGCCCUGGUAGCCACGGGAAACUAAGCCCACGAACAAGCAUAUCUGCAGCUGAAGAUGACCCUCCCUCUGGCACCACAACACCUCGUCGCCGCUUUAGCAAGUUUAACAUCGGAUGGCGUCGGCAGACAAAGUCCGACCAGGAGGAAGAUCAGAGCAGCGAUGGGACUGGACUAGAUCGACGAGAAAGCAAGAGUGACCUUCAGGUUUACCGCUCUAGGGGCCGCAUGUCCUUCCGCACAGCUAGUCAUGCUACACUCAGCUUUCUCUCUGCUCGCAAGCGGAUAGAAGAUGGUUUUAAGACCUUUGGAAAGAAGAUGGCGAACAGAGGUAGCAUAGAUGACAUUCACCAGCCUAAAUCAAGUGGAGCUGGGGAGGGAUGUCCAGAGCUGGUGAUGGUACGAGAAAAAAAGCUUGUGGAUAAAUACCUGGUCAAGUCUGGCAUGCUUCGAUUUUCUUUCCUCAUGGAGUGCUGUCACCCUGGGACCUUCCCAGACUCACAGCUAGUGGCCGCCAUGCUGGAUUUGGAGGCACCAGUUGUUUCCCGUGCUGCAGUCCUGCUGGAAUGUGCACACUUCAUUCAUCGCUGUAACCGUGGAGACUGGCCUGUGUGGAUGCGGCAUAAUUUACCUAGCUUUCGGCACAAUGUAAAUGCAUUACAGAACCGGGGUCAGCCAUCAGGUUAUCGGCGCAAUCUUGCAAUGCAGAGAGCAGCUGGGCGUUUGUUUUAUUCAUGGGCAGAGAAUCUUGGCCUUCAGCUAGAAUACAUCUUAGCCAGAGAGCAUGCUGAUCGUCUGUCUGUCAUCAACGAUGUAAAGGAUGAAAACAGACGUAGAGAACUGCGUGCAGAAGAUGAAGAGGAAGAUUUCUUGGAUGAAGCAACCAUAAAUCCACGUGGCACAGACUGUCCAUAUGCACUGAAGAUGUUGGCUUGUCUUGUACUCUUGGAAAUAACAACUUUCAUGAGAGAGACCUUCCAGUACCUACCGCGGUGCCGCCAGCAGAAACGAGAGCAAGGCUGGGAGAAGAAUACAGCCCCUCGCCGUUUUAGCAGCAUUGUCAGCAGUCCUGGCCACUCGGACAAAAGUUCCGAGUCCAACAUUGGAGAGCUCCCCUCAGGAAUGAGUGGAGUUGGAAGUCCUGUAGAUCGCAAGAUCAGCUUUGCAGUGUUGACGGAGCGCUCUGACUCCUUUCACAGUAGCACAACAUCUCUGUCAGCUAUGGAUCCAAGCACUGUCCUUGCUGAAGACAAAAAGGACCCAAGAGGUCGCCGGCUAGCACAGGGGCGACAAAAAUUGCUACGCCAUUUCAGACGAGGAUCGGGUCACAACCUGAGUUUUAGACACAACCGUAGCUUCAAACUGAUGCGACCUGAUGGAGGUGGAGGGAGCAUCAAACAGUUGAGCUCAACACGGUCCAGGAAAAUCAGCAGCCACUCAUUGCAGUCAGAUGCAAAGUUUGUAGAGGAAGAGGCAGCUGCCCCAGCACUAUCUGAAGAUGCUGAGUCUGUCACAAUGAUGAGUGAUGAAACGCAGGAGUCGCCUGUAGAUCGUGACUUGGAAAUUGAAGAUGAGCACUUGUGCUCUUCUUUACCAUGGAUCAAGGUUGUGGUUCAGCUUGCUAACUUGUCUAACUUCAUAUGUACCCAUGAGGGGUAUUGCCACCCAAACUGCUAUGAACGACAACGUCGCAGCUGUCAGCGUCUAACAACAGCCAUACGUAAGGUCUAUGAGGCCACAGCGACCACCCAACAAGAGGAUGGUCGGCAAAGCUCAGCCCCAAAGGACAUGCUGAAAGACAAACUUAAGCGGCGGCAGGAUUCUAUCUUUAUGGUAACAUCACCUACAAAACGAAGAGAGAGUACUCCUUUGCUAGAGAAGAUAAAGACAGACGUUUCCAUGACAAAACUAAAACUGAGUUCCUCAUGGAAAAAAGAAGAAAAAACCCGGGAGAUUCGUGAUGAGACACCGAUUGUAAAAUACUUGACAUCACAGGCUCAGAGACUAACACAGUGCCCAAUGGCCAUAUUGACAAAGGCAGCCCCAGUGCUUCAGGUGGAGAACUUUGUAGACAUUAUGCCUGUGGCAUGGGAGCUGCUUCUGGAGACAGACCAAGAGCUUGCUGCUGCAGCAGCCUCUGUGUUCCUGCUGUCUUCUGUGAAGUCACCUGACAAAGCCAGAAACACUAUCAUCAAAGAAUUGCAACAUGAAGAGACCUGCCAACGUAUUAAUGCCAUUCUCAGAUUUGGAGUCUUAUGGAAGUUCCGGUUCCAAGUGUGGCCUCGGAUGGAGUGUGAUGCAAACUUGUACUUCAAGUUGCCCCCACCCAGCAUAGACUUCACUCUGCCAUCACCAACCAUCGGUCUACCCAGGUCAAGUCUCACAGUCAUUGAUCCACCCUGGAUGCCGCAUUUUAAAACAAAAAUUGAGGAGGUGACUGUGAAUCAGGAAGAAACGAAAUCCCUUGUGACGGCCACAACAACACGUCGCAAACAGCAGCAAGAAAUGAUCAGACGAGCUUUGCAGGCAGAAGAAGAGCGGAAACGCAUUGGGCGGGAGAAUUUUCCUAUGACUACAGUACCUGUGACACAGCUGGCUGCCUAUGAACCAGCACUUCAUUCAGGAGUUGAGGAGCAUGAGGAAGCGACGCAAGAGGAGUUAAACUUGGCUGCUCGACGCGUCUCACUCGCUCCAAUCAAUCGCGCUAAUAUCCAAAGUCGUAGCAUGUCUUGGCGAAACGGUAGCUUGCAUUGGGGCAGGCUCGGCAAUGAAGGUGAGGAAGAACGUGCAGACCAUUCGCACCAUCUGCAGACAGCACAAGCCUUCUUCCCAUCAUGCAUCUGUGCAGCUGUCUUGCCAGUGCUGCACUUGCUAGAUGACCAUGAUGUCAAUACUGAGGGAGUCUCAGUAUCGGAAGUUGCCAACAAGAUCAUUUGGGACUGCAUUGUGGAUGACCCUAUUCUCUUUCUCCGACACUUCCUGGAAAAGCUUACAAACAAAGAGAGACAGGAGGAGCUGAUAUUCCUGGUGCGUAAGCUGGUGAUUUACUUUCGUCAGCUGCCAGCUCAGACAGCUCACUCCAUCUUUAACUACUUGGUGGGCUUUGUCAUGUUCUAUGUGCGCUCUCCCUGUGAAGGAGGACAAGAUGCUAUAGCUGGAGCAUUAUCCCUCUUGUGGCUGGUGGUUCCCUGUGUUGAAGGUAUUUAUUUCAAGGACCUCAAACAGACGCUGAAGAAGGAGCAGUGCGAUCCUUACCUGUUGGUGUGUGCAAAUGUAGCCAGUGCCAAGAAGAUCCUGGUGCAUGGGCCAGACCUUUCCAGCAUCCCUUCACAGCUUCCUAUCCAUGAGGACACACAGUUCUCACAUAUUCUGCAGGAGAGCCUGGAGUUCUUUAACAUCCCUGAAGACCAACACCAUUGCUAUUUUAUUGCAGACACAAAGACCAAUCAAGUACAUAACCAGAAUGCCUAUGUAAGAGACUUUUACUUCUUCCGGAGGAACAUCUAUCCUCAGCUGAGCCUUGUGCGCAUGGAUCCUGAUGAUGCUGCUUUAGCUCUUCAGAAGCGGGUGUUUUUGCUGAAGUUCAUAGAAAUUGGGAAGGUCUUGCUAACAGAUGCUGUCUUGGCCAACACUUCGAGUCACCAGAACCAUGUUGCAUUUCUUCAUGAAGAAUUUCUAAAACUGCCAGCAUUUCCCCGCAAAGCCCUUGAGACAGAGUUUGACAUGUAUCAAGGACAACUGGGCAAGGAGCUGUUUGGCAUGGACUCACUUCAUAAAUAUGCUUGGACAAAGCUGAUGACAACAAUGUUCAGUGCACUCAACAGCACCUUUACUUGGUCGCAUGACCUUUCCCUCUUCAUGAAUGUCAUUAAUGGAACCAUCAUCCUGUUGUUUGAAGACACAGCCAUCCUGCGCUUCUGUCUGGCAUCCCUUAUCAACACCUGUCGUCACUUCAAGCAUAUAUUUGCCACCAAUGGGUUCAUGUACAUUAUGCCCACACUGUUGCGAGUGUACAGCAACAACCAGCCCAACACUGUCCUGAAGCAGGCUAUCCACUUUGUGUGCCGCCAGUUCUACAUCUUGCAUCGCAAGCCAUUUGUGCUGCAGAUGUUUGGAAGUGUGGCUUCCAUCCUAGAUACCAGCUGUGCAGCAGGAGGGAUGUUGGACUGCAGUAAGGUACAGCCAGACAGCAUGUUCAAACUGUUGCUUGCCUUGGACAGGGAGUGCCCUGACAUACUGGGUGUGCUAGACCUCGUCCAGGGGGACAAACCUCUCAAAGCACUGGACUUUUGCUAUGAAGCUGAUCCAGAUACCUUCAGCAUGAUGGACACCAUCAACAUGUGUGUGACUGUCGUUGCCUACGCUCCAGACUCUUUCCGUAGCGUGCAGAUGUUGAUGAUCCUGGAGCUUGUCAUCCCUCGUUACUUGGAGCACCUGUGCCAAGAAACAACCCACAGGGAUAGUGUAAGCAUGGCCAGGUCAGAGGUUACAGCCAUCACCAAUAUUGCUGUAGCCCUUCGUGCCUUGAUCAGCUGCAGCGAAUAUUUUGCAAGGAGCAUGAGCCUGCCACAGAGGUUUAUGGAGUCAUCGAGUGUUGGCAAGCCUAUUCGCAAUCAUAGCAUGCAUUCUUUGACAGUUGACGACUGUGAAGAUUCUCACACCAGCCAUCGAAUGGAGGAGGGUCGGCGGCGACCACAUGGUGUUGACGCUGAAGAGUUUGAAAUGCGAGAAGAAUUCAGACACCCUCGGGAUCUGAUUCUGUCCAUUGCUGCCCAGUUCUGGACAACGUGUCAUGCACGCCUUCGGCAGUUGCGCAAGAUUUUGGGUGACCCCUCCUUCCGACCUCCAGAGCUUUUGGACCACAAAACUCACAAUCGCCUUGCAGAGAUUGCCCACACACUGCUCAAGCUGAUACCAUAUGACCCAUACACAAUCAGCUGUUCUGGACUCCAGAGAUACAUGCUGGAGAUACUACCCAACACAGACUGGUCACAGGAACUUGUUAGACCUGCUCUAAACCUAAUCUUGCGACGUCUGGACAGACUGUUCACCAAAAUUUCCAAGAAGAAUGCCCUUAAGCGGCAGAUAGACUGGGAAGCAGCUGCUAACAUUCUGAAAGGUGUCUUCCAGACUCUGAAGAAAUUUGCCUACAUUGCUUACUUACCUCACUUGAAGACACUGGUCAAUGUUUUGAUCUCCAUCCUUUUAUCCAGCAUGGGAGGGUUGAGCGUCUCAUUAGACCCCGGUCUGGGCACUCAAAGUACAAAUCGCACAGAAAGAUCCUCAUCACCAGAAGUUGCACCUGUGUUUUGCUCAGCUGUUAUCAAACUUGUGGCAAUGCAGAUGCAAGCUCUUGGGGAACACUAUUCUUUAGAAUAUAUUUGUGGAGGCCCUUCAGCUGUACAUCCAAGUGAUAAGCUUCUGGGGCUCCUCACAAACUUUGUCCUACCACUUUGCAUCCGUGUUGGCUGCGGCUGUCGUGACAUGCCUCAUCUGUAUCCUGUGGACAUCAAGUUUGUCUUAAAUGCAGUCACUAGUCUGUUGACCCCACAUCCUCCAGCGGCCACCAUGCAUAACUCCAGCACUAAGUCACACUAUGUCAACACAGAACGAAGUCGCAGCGGCAGCAUGUCAGCAUCUGAGAAGAUGGCACAGAAACUAGGGCAUGAAUUCCAUCACACUGCAGCUUUCAUUGGUUUAGAAGUACUAGCCGUGUGCUUCGACAAACAUCUUUCCACAGAGUGGCAGAGUGUGGCCAAGUGCAUUCAGGCUUUGGCUUCCAAGGGCAAAGUGGGUCUUCCUCUGUGGAAGUUUCUGGAUUUCCUGGUGACCCACAGACCAUCUCUGUUCCUAUUACUCCACACAUUCAUCAGGUUCAGGAUGAUGCGUGUGAACUGUGACACAGCCCAGGAGUACUACAUGCAGCAAACCAUCAAGGACAAGCUGCAAGGUUACAGUUAUGCAUAUCCCAAGUCCACAGCUACCAUCCUCAUCUCUAUGGCCCAGGAACUGAAGCAGCUGCGGGACAACAUGGCCGCUUGUGUAGCUGGUUAUCACUCAAGAACAGCCACUAUUGCCACAGACCACUCAGAGUUCUCCCAGACCCACCUGUCCGAUACUCAGCUGCCACCCAACCUAACUGAGCUUGCAGCUGAACUCAUUGGCCCAACUAAGUGCUCAUUUGGUCUCAAUGCUAAGAAGAAUAGUAGAGGAACAGUUUUCUCCCAGUCCAGCUCUGGUAGUAGUCCACCUGUCCAGAGUUUUACUGAGAAUAGGAACACCAUGGCACCUCCAGCUGACCUGCCAGCUGGACAGGGUAGCAAACGUAUCCUGCCUCAUGCAGGAAUCCUCAUCUUGGAGAAAUUUAUUAUGAAGAAAACAGCAAAUGAACCAUCUCCUACUGAGUGUGAGACUUUUGAAUCUCCACGGCUGCAGCGCCAGCCUACCAUCUGCUUGAGGGGACAUCUUUCAAAGCAAAACAGUCUUGACCGGGCUGCACCUGCAAAUGUUGCAUUUGAAAAUGAAGAAUGCGAAGCAGUCAAUGGAAGAGCCCGAGGACUGGAGUGCCCAGGUGAAGAGCAGAUCUCCUUUGAAGAUCCACGAGAACAUCGUCUUCAACGCCAGGAUGCCAGAAGUCGAAAGACCUUCAAGAUCAAGCGACAGAAGAGCAAACCGAAUGUGAGACGCUUUAUGUCUCAUCGGAGGCGUCCAGAUUUGGUGUCAGAUUCCGACAAGGGCUUUCCAGAAAACACACAAACAGCCGUUGUCUUCCAUGAUCAGAUCCAACUGCAUCGGGCAGGAGUUGCUGGCUUCAUCACUCGGUCCGUGGAGACAAUCCCAGAAUCAGUUGAAGCCAAGGUACACCCUAAUGCUACUCGUGUGUAGCUGCCUCUGGUAGUUUGCUAGCUGUACAUGUAGCAGUGUCACAACCUGUCCAUGUGUUCUGCUGGCUGAACCAUUUGACAAACUGGUGAAAUCAGGAUUCGGCUAAAGAUGACAUUGAAGAUGAGACGUCCAUUUUUGUGCGAGGGAAUCAGGAUGAAUGUGGGCACAUUAUCAAAGCCAAGUCACCCUCGUUUUGUGCCACGGUCUAAAUCGCACGAUGACCCCUGUGCUGACCCUGACCCUCGCCUUCCCGCUGGCUCCGCUAAGCUUGGGCACAGCUCUAAGCAGGAGGUGCACGUCCCAGCGUCUCGC
rnacentral:misc_RNA from 1 species